AACGAACGCUGGCGGCAGGCUUAACACAUGCAAGUCGAACGCACCGCAAGAGGAGUGGCAGACGGGUGAGUAACGCGUGGGAAUCUACCGUACCCUACGGAAUAACGCAUGGAAAAGUGUGCUCAUACCGUAUACGUCCUACGGGGGAAAGAGUUAUCGGGGUAUGAUGAGCCCGCGUGGGAUUAGCUAGUUGGUGGGGUAAAGGCCUAUCAAGGCGACGAUACAUAGCUGGUAUGAGAGGAUGAUCAGCCACAUUGGGGCUAGGACACGGCCCGAACUCCUACGGGAGGGAGCAGUGGGGAAUAGUGGACAAUGGGCUGAAGGCUGAUCCAGUCAUGCCGCUUGAGUAAUGAAGGCCCGAGGGUUGGAAAGCUCUUUCACCGAUGAAGAUAAUGACGGUAGUCGGAGAAGAAGCCCCGGCUAACUUCGUGCCAGCAGCCGCGGUAACAC
rnacentral:rRNA from 1 species